rnacentral:lncRNA from 1 species
GUUACUUUUUUGCAAAAUAGUCAACUUUUUGCAAAAUGGUCAUUCCCUUGCCUCUUUUUGUUUUUAAGAGAAAAUUGUGUUUCAUCUAAUUUUCUUGAAAUUAUCUACAAUGACAUCUCCACUUUCGUAGAGCAAAAUUUCCCUGAGAGUUUAUCAGGGGUAAAGCAACACUGAUUUAAGUGGAAGUGACAGGAGGUUUAUCAAUGUUGUAUGUAUAGGAAUAGGGGACUAAAGGUGUAAGGUCAUAGAUUAGGGCUAAGAAAUAUCUCUAGGGUUAAUGUGAGAACACACUGUCCCUACUGGACUGGUGUGUUACUUGUGGAAUGCAAUUUUGCAUUUGAUUUUGCUCAGCUAAAUCCCUGAAUUUCUAUUUCUGGCCACAAGGUGGCAUCUGAUUGUCAUUAAUCCUCAAGUCAGCACACCUCAUACUCUUGCCCCUCAACCUGGAAGCUCAUUCAUAUCUGUCGAGCCUUCUAGACCCUAUUAUACCAGAUUUAUUUUUUUUACAAAUGGAAAAAUUCCUAAAUGGAAUUGUAUUAACUUAUAUACACUUAGGAGCCUUGUAUUUUGAUAAUCAGUAUCUGUAUCAAGAUCUGUACAUUUUCAAUAUUUUUAAUCCAUCAUUGUGUUGAAUAUCUAUCAUAAUUUCACCCAUGCAUUUCUUUGCCUUACAGGCUAGAAUGCAGGCAUGUGCUAUUUUUUACAAAUGCCUAUCAUGGAGUCUCCUCCUAAGUCUAGCUUUCAAGUUGUUUAUACAUACAAGGUAUAUGCAUGAAGUAACCAUAAAAGGAGUUCACAAAUCAAGCUGUGUGAGUUCAAGACAGUAUUAUGAGUAAAGUGUCUAGUUUGGCAAAGGAAGGGAUUAAGAUGGAUGGGUUCAUUAUUGUGCCCCUGGCACUUUGCACGGUACAGUUCAUAAUGGCUGCUCAAAAAAAUACCAUUGUGCUACACCAGAGAAGGGGCCCGAAAAGGGUUUCAAGCAAGAUGGG